UCCAACAAUAGAUCUACAGGAAAGGCUGCAGCAGGAUAGAUCUGCAAGGUCUGUCUCCAUCUACUUUCUUCCCUAUCUAGAAUAUCCCGAUUUGAGAUUUAUGAAUUGGAAGACCUCUAUCCAGGCCUAGUCUAGUUGGGCACCAGAUCUUAGAUUUUUUAGAGGUGAUUUCAGAGGCGUUCUUCAUCUGGAAUGAAAGGCUGACGAAGAAGACAGCAACCAGGUUGAUUUCGUCAAGGGCCUU
rnacentral:lncRNA from 1 species